rnacentral:rRNA from 1 species
GACGUAGGGGGCCAGCGUUGUUCGGAAUUACUGGGUGUAAAGGGUUCGUAGGCGGUGUGGCAAGUCGGGAGUGAAAUCUCUGGGCUCAACCCAGAGGCUGCUUCCGAAACUGCUGUGCUUGAGUGUGGGAGAGGCGCGUGGAAUUGCAGGUGUAGCGGUGAAAUGCGUAGAUAUCUGGAGGAAUACCGGUGGCGAAGGCGGCAUCCUGGACCGACAUUGACGCUGAGGAGCGAAAGCUAGGGGAGCAAACGGG